GACGAACGCUGGCGGCGUGCUUAGCACAUGCAAGUCGAACGGAAAGGCCCUGCUUUUGUGGGGUGCUCGAGUGGCGAACGGGUGAGUAACACGUGAGUAACCUGCCCUUGACUUUGGGAUAACUUCAGGAAACUGGGGCUAAUACCGGAUAGGAGCUCCUGCUGCAUGGUGGGGGUUGGAAAGUUUCGGCGGUUGGGGAUGGACUCGCGGCUUAUCAGCUUGUUGGUGGGGUAGUGGCUUACCAAGGCUUUGACGGGUAGCCGGCCUGAGAGGGUGACCGGCCACAUUGGGACUGAGAUACGGCCCAGACUCCUACGGGAGGCAGCCGUGGGGAAUAUUGCACAAUGGGCGGAAGCCUGAUGCAGCAACGCCGCGUGCGGGAUGACGGCCUUCGGGUUGUAAACCGCUUUCGCCUGUGACGAAGCGUGAGUGACGGUAAUGGGUAAAGAAGCACCGGCUAACUACGUG
rnacentral:rRNA from 1 species